AGUGUUGCCCUAAAUACUCUAAAUUACAAGAACCCCUCUGAUCUUGGAAUCUAAGCAGGGUCAUCCCUGGUCAGUAGAUGAAUGGGAGACUGCCAGUGGAUCCCAGGUACUGGAGGCUACAUUU
rnacentral:rRNA from 11 species